AGAUUAUUAAUGGAUGAACAAUCCAACCUUUUUAAGCUUUUGCACCCAAGGGGUAAUCUGAUGCAACAUCGAGGUGGCAAACUAAAAGUUUAAUUUCUGACUCUAUCUUUUAAUUACACUGUUAUCCCUAUAGUAUCUUUUAUCAAUUAAUUAAAUUUAUUUUUAAAUUUAAGGUCAUAUUAAUAUAUAGCAAUAUUUUUUAUUUACUACUGAAUAAAUUUAAAUUUUCUUUAUUUUCGUUUUUUAUAGAAAUUAGCCGCCCCAGCUAAACUAUAAAUUUAUAAUUUAAAAUUUUUAUUUUAUAGUAUUAUAAAAAUCUAGUAAAGAUUAAUAGGGUCUUCUCGUCUUAUGGGAUAUUCUUAGAAUCUUGACUAAAAAACUAAUUUCUUAACUAUUACAUCAAAGACAAUGUUAUAAUGAUUCACCAUUCAUUCCAGACAUCAAUUAAAUGCCAAUUUAUUAUGCUACAUUAUUACCCUCACGCUAAGGCAUGUGUUUAAAUUAUCACUGACCAGGUCCCACUUCUAAAAAUACUAGAAGCU
rnacentral:rRNA from 1 species